GACGGGGGGGGCAAGUGUUCUUCGGAAUGACUGGGCGUAAAGGGCGCGUAGGCGGCUUCGCAAGUGGAAGGUGAAAUCCCUCAGCUUAACCGAGGAACUGCCCUCCAAACUGCGUGGCUUGAGUCCGGGAGAGGUGAGUGGAAUUCCCAGUGUAGCGGUGAAAUGCGUAGAUAUUGGGAGGAACACCAGUGGCGAAGGCGGCUCACUGGACCGGAACUGACGCUGAGGCGCGAAAGCGUGGGGAGCAAACGGG
rnacentral:rRNA from 1 species